rnacentral:misc_RNA from 1 species
UUAAAACUAUCAUGGUUUAAUGAAUCAGACGAGACACAGUUAUCUGCAUGAAGGCGGCGGCCCUCAGGCGGGGCCCGGGGCACGCCGAAGCACGUUCUCUCUGAACGAUCCACAGGUUUGAUGGGCAUGUGAAGGCACAGGGGCCAUUCGAUAAUGAUCCCUCCGCAGGUUCACCUACGGAGA